UUUAAGCCUGUGUGGUAGACUCACUUGGGUUUCUGUCUUCUCCUGUUGGGUGUGGAGACGCGUCUGGGCUGGCAUGCUGCACGUUUGUUACCGUGGCCAGAGGUUGUUAGUUUACUGCGGGGUGAGCUGACUUUGUUUCGGCCGUGGAUAUUCCCCGUGUGGAUAGAUGAAUACCUGGGCUGCUGGCGUUGGGUGCCUCGCGGGACCGAGCUACAGCCGUGUGCAUGCUGCUGUCGAGGCUGCUGGGUGCCACAGUUAUCCAAGAGGUUACCACUCCCUGGCGUGUUUCUCCUCCCACUCUUGCUGUUCUGAAUAUCUGUAUAAAACUUUGCUGUGUAUUGAUACACUGUCUGGAUAUAUGACUGUCCUGGAUACACAGAACUGGUUUGGAGUAAUACAUUUUAAGUGUUUGAAUAUCCAGACAUUGGCUCUGUAAAUAUUGGUAUUAACUGGAUGUAUAUUGCAUGUGGGUUUGUUCUUUGUUUGAUUUUGAUCCUCUAAUUAUGCAUGUGGAUCUGUUGAUUUGAAUGGUGUUUUUCUCUAAUACACAUUACACAUCUUUUCUUAAUA